UACGUAGGUGACAAGCGUUGUCCGGAUUUACUGGGCGUAAAGAGCGCGCAGGCGGUCGAUCAAGUCGAGUGUGAAAGCCCCCGGCUCAACUGGGGAGGGUCAUUCGAUACUGAUCGACUCGAAGGCAGGAGAGGGUAGUGGAAUUCCCGGUGUAGUGGUGAAAUGCGUAGAUAUCGGGAGGAACACCAGUGGCGAAGGCGACUACCUGCCUGUUCUUGACGCUGAGGCGCGAAAGCUAGGGAGCAAACGGG
rnacentral:rRNA from 1 species